CAUAAAAGACAAAUUAUCAACAAAAUCUCAUUUUAUUAAAUAAUUUCAUAUAAAUCUUAUUUACAAAGAUUGUUCGAUCGUUACAAUCGUUACAAUCAUUACAACUAUGAUAUGUAAUUAAGGUAAUUGUAAUAGCUCAUGAGGGAUAGACAAGGAAGGAGAAUGUGAGUUGUGCGUGAGCGAAGAAAGAAAUUUAACAAACCUUAUAUUCAUAAUUCACGAUAUAAGGUUUGAAAUACAAGAAGAGAGAUUGACAAAUUAAGAGGCACGGGGUCUUACAAGGUCAAGAAAAGGUCUUACAAGGUCAAGAAAACCGACCAUUUAACGAACACAAAAGGCAACAAGUCAAAAAAACAAAAGAAAAAAAAGAGAAAUGGGAGACGGUUGUGGAAGAAAAAGCUCAGGUAGGAUAGCACCAAAUUACAGAAAACUAGCCAUUAUAAUGUUCAUGGUGUCGAACAGAAAGCCGUCAGUAUCAUCAUCAUCGUCAUCGUUUCUAGAAUUGAUCUCUAUUUGGUUAUGGUCUCCAUUUACCGGAGCUUUAGGCAGGGUGGAAAAAUAUACAUGUGUGCCUGAAAUUUUAAGAUUAUAGUGCAAAAAAUUGUAAACAACCAAAUUAAUACAAUGGGAUAAAUACAAAAUUGAGCAUGGCAUGCUAAGUUUUCUCAUACCUUGUAAGAAUUUGUGUCUAGCUUUCUGCUUUGAACUCUUUUCUCUCUGCCCCAUAAAAACUACACACACUUGGACUUCCUAGCUGUUAUUCUUAGUGAGAGAUUUUGAGAGAGCCGGAUGAGGAUUUAAUGUUAUAUGAAUAUGAGUGAAUGUAUAGAAGA
rnacentral:lncRNA from 1 species